rnacentral:rRNA from 1 species
AGAGAAGCGCAAACGGUGGAUGCCUUGGCAGUAAGAGGCGAAGAAGGACGUGGAAUCCUGCGAAAAGCUAUGGGGAGCUGGAAACGAGCGUUGAGCCAUAGAUGUCCGAAUGGGGGAACCCGGCUGCAGCGAUGCGGUCAUUUGCAUUUGAAUACAUAGGAUGCAAAGGCGAACUCGGGGAACUGAAACAUCUAAGUACCCGAAGGAAAAGAAAUCAAGAGAGAUUCUCCAAGUAGCGGCGAGCGAACGGGGAGGAGCCUGGCGUGAUUUAUUAUUGAACUGAGUAGAACAAUUUGGGAAAGUUGGCCGUAGAGGGUGAAAGCCCCGUAUACGAAGGUUUGAUGAGGAACUAGGCACGCGAACAAGUAGGCCGGGACACGUGAAAUCCUGGUUGAAGAUGGGUGGACCAUCAUCCAAGGCUAAAUACUACUUACUGACCGAUAGUGAACCAGUACCGUGAGGGAAAGGUGAAAAGAACCCCGGAGAGGGGAGUGAAAUAGAAUCUGAAACCGUUUGCGUACAAGCAGUGGGAGCAUAGUUUAGGCUGUGUGACUGCGUACCUUUUGUAUAAUGGGUCAGCGAGUUACUUUCAGUGGCGAGGUUAACUGAAUAAGGGAGCCGUAGAGAAAUCGAGUCUGAAUAGGGCGAUAGUCGCUGGGAGUAGACCCGAAACCGGGCGAUCUAGCCAUGUGCAGGAUGAAGGUUGGGUAACACCAACUGGAGGUCCGAACCGGGUAAUGUUGAAAAAUUAUCGGAUGACGUGUGGCUAGGAGUGAAAGGCUAAUCAAGCCCGGAGAUAGCUGGUUCUCCCCGAAAGCUAUUUAGGUAGCGCCUCGUGAAUGAUUACUGGGGGUAGAGCACUGUUUCGGCUAGGGGGCUGUCAUGGCUUACCAAACCGAUGCAAACUCCGAAUACCGGCUAAUUGAAUCACGGGAGACACACGGCGGGUGCUAACGUCCGUCGUGG